AGGACGAACGCUGGCGGCGUGCUUAACACAUGCAAGUCGAGCGGAAAGGCCCUUCGGGGUACUCGAGCGGCGAACGGGUGAGUAACACGUAAGCAACCUGCCUUAGCUCCGGGAUAGCUCCGGGAAACCGGAAUUAAUACCGGAUAUGACCUAGGCCGACAUCGGCUGUGGUGGAAAGUUUUUCGGCUGGGGAUGGACUCGCGGCCUAUCAGCUUGUUGGUGGGGUAAUGGCCUACCAAGGCGACGACGGGUAGCCGGCCUGAGAGGGCGACCGGCCACACUGGGACUGAGACACGGCCCACGACUCCUACGGGAGGCAGCAGUGGGGAAUCUUGCGCAAUGGGCGAAAGCCUGACGCAGCGACGCCGCGUGGGGGAUGAAGGCCUUCGGGUUGUAAACCCCUUUCAGCAGGGACGAAGCGAAAGUGACGGUACCUGCAGAAGAAGCGCCGGCUAACUACGUGCCAGCAGCCGC
rnacentral:rRNA from 1 species